GAUGACGUAAUCGCAGUGUAUAAAUAACCAAUCGAAAGCUGGUCACGUUCUUCUUGGAGACGGUGCCAUCUUGCAGAGACACCCCUCCACAACAUGAGGGCCAAGUGGAGAAAGAAGCGUAUGCGCAGGCUGAAGCGCAAGAGGCGAAAGAUGAGGCAGAGGUCAAAAUAGACUGCCCCCUUACAAAACCAUGUCUGACCUUACGGACAACACGGGACCAAGGAUCUCCCAAGUGCUCAAGUCUGAAACAUGACACAGGCCAACGAGAGGCUACAGAGACGGUGCUACUGUUGGUCAACCACCUGCCUGGGAGACUUGAUUAUGGGGACAUUCUGCAUCCUUUACUCUUCUACAAAACCAUCCCUACUCCAUUGCUUUUGUUUAUAUUUUCCAAUAAAGUUUUUGGUUUAAAUAAAUUGACUCAAUAUUGAUUUGACAUCAAACUGGUCUAAAAGUGUUAAGAUACCAUGAUGCAACUUUUUUUAUUAUGCCAUAUGUUCAGUUGCAGAGAAUGUAAUGUCAAAGAUUCUUAAUGCUAACCAUCUGAAGGGUAUCCUACGAAGCAGGUUCUAGUCAACUUUGAACUAGGGAUAACCAGUCAUAAAGAAGUGGCUCACCUUUUAGCCUGGUACAUUUAGGGCAAUGAAUCCUUCAGAACAAACCUGCUCCAGGUGUAACGAACCAGACUCGAUGAUUGAGCUGUGAGUGGCGGCCUAAUGAAAACUAAUUACCCUCUCUUGCAAAGACUCAUCCUCUUCAUUGGGGAGUGAUUUAAAUAUGUUAAUAUUGUCACAUUACACUAAUGACAGAAUGCAUAGUGAACUUCAACACUAACUUAGAAAUGAAUAUGGGGGGUGCUUGUGCAUAAUGGUACGUUUUGACCAGAUGUGCAGGUCCUGGGCUGCGAUUGUGAGGCCGGUUGGAUGUACUGCCAAAUUCUCUAAAAUGACGGUGGCUUAUGGCUAAAAAAAUGAACAUUAAAUUUUCUGGCAACAGCGCUGGUGGACAUUCCUGCAGUGAGUAUGCUAAUUGAGACAUCUUGGUGGGUGUGCGCAUUUUAUUGUCCCCAGCACAAGGUGCACCUGUGUAAUGAUCAUGCUGUUUAAUCAGCUUCUUGAUAUGCCACACCUGUCAGGUGGAUGGACUAUCUUGAUAAAGGAUCAGAUGUAAACAUUUGUGCACAACAUUUGAGAGAAAUAAGCUUUUUGUGCAUAUGGAACAUUUCUGGGAUCUUUUAUCUCAGCUCAUGAAACAUGGGACCAACACUUUACAUGUUGCGCUCUCCAGUUCUAGUCCCUAGAGAGAAACUCUGAAGAAAGAGAUAAUAGUCAGGGCUGUCUAAUUGUAAUAAAAUAAAUCCUGUUUCUUUUGAUGUCUGUCCUCAGAUAUGGAGAGCUGUGAAAGCCUGUCUGCUGAUGAAGAGGUCCCAGUGAAUAUCCCAAGAGACUGCUGGCACAUCCUUGUUUGCCAUGGGUUCUAUGUGUACUUAUGUUAGCAAAUGUUGUAUACAACAAUACAGUUAAAAGUCACACACAAAUUAUAGGCUAUAAACGUAUUACAACUGUAGCAGGCCAGUCCUUCUCCUGGAGGUAUGCUGGUAUGCAGGCUUUUGUUCCAGCCCAGCACUAACACACCUGAUUCAAUUUAUCAAACCUAAUGAGUUGAUAAUAAUGUGAAUUAUUGCUGGGCUGGAAUAUAAGUCUACUAACCCAGUAGAUCAGGGAGUGUAGCAAGGUUGGCCACCUCGGGUAUGGACUUUUGUUCGCCUGAAAUUAUGCUUUAGUAAUUACAGCCUACUUACAAAGAUGUCUAACAUUUACAAACAAGUUAGAUUAUUUGACCAUUUUGAAAUGAUAUGUUGGUUCAUUGAAGUGUUUAAACUUGUUUUAUUUGUUAACUUAAAAACAUUAUUCAAGAUGAACUAGUGUCAAUGUUAAUUAAUCACAGAUCACAAUUCUGUAAUAAAAAGGUGUGAAGAGGAUCU